rnacentral:tRNA from 1 species
GAACGUAUGGCUUAGUUGGUUAGAGUGCUUGGGCGGUUGCCAAAGAGGCGCGGGUUCAAAUCCCGCUAAGUUCA